rnacentral:rRNA from 1 species
GAGUGGCGGACGGGUGAGUAACGCGUGGGUAACCUGCCUCAUACAGGGGGAUAACAGUUGGAAACGACUGCUAAUACCGCAUAAGCGCACAGGGUCGCAUGACCUGGUGUGAAAAACUCCGGUGGUAUGAGAUGGACCCGCGUCUGAUUAGCCAGUUGGUGGGGUAACGGCCUACCAAAGCGACGAUCAGUAGCCGACCUGAGAGGGUGACCGGCCACAUUGGGACUGAGACACGGCCCAAACUCCUACGGGAGGCAGCAGUGGGGAAUAUUGCACAAUGGGGGAAACCCUGAUGCAGCGACGCCGCGUGAGCGAAGAAGUAUUUCGGUAUGUAAAGCUCUAUCAGCAGGGAAGAAGAAAUGACGGUACCUGACUAAGAAGCACCGGCUAAAUACGUGCCAGCAGCCGCGGUAAUACGUAUGGUGCAAGCGUUAUCCGGAUUUACUGGGUGUAAAGGGAGCGCAGGCGGUACGGCAAGUCUGAUGUGAAAGCCCGGGGCUCAACCCCGGUACUGCAUUGGAAACUGUCGGACUAGAGUGUCGGAGGGGUAAGUGGAAUUCCUAGUGUAGCGGUGAAAUGCGUAGAUAUUAGGAGGAACACCAGUGGCGAAGGCGGCUUAC